GAAGCAAGAAAAUGGACUCCCUUCUACAGUCUGCAGUGUGAGCAUGUGCCAGAGUUUGCAACCUGUUGGAAGAAAACAACAUCAAGUGCUGGAAUGUGGGAGCUGUUGAGGAUGACACCACUCGGGAGGCGAGGAGCAGUGAGCUUGAAGCAAACUUACUAGUGGUCAAGUCCUAGCUCUGCCACACAUGAACCACAUGAGCAUGGGUG
rnacentral:lncRNA from 1 species